rnacentral:rRNA from 1 species
AUUGAACGCUGGCGGCAUGCUUUACACAUGCAAGUCGAACGGCAGCGCGGGCUUCGGCCUGGCGGCGAGUGGCGAACGGGUGAGUAAUGCAUCGGAACGUGCCCAGUAGUGGGGGAUAGCCCGGCGAAAGCCGGAUUAAUACCGCAUACGACCUGAGGGUGAAAGCGGGGGACCGAAAGGCCUCGCGCUAUUGGAGCGGCCGAUGUCGGAUUAGCUAGUUGGUGGGGUAAAGGCUUACCAAGGCGACGAUCCGUAGCUGGUCUGAGAGGACGACCAGCCAACCUGGAACUGGGACACGGCCCAGCCUCCUAGGGGAGGCAGCGUUGGGAAAUUUUGACAAAUGGGGGAAACCCUAACCAAGCAAGGCGGGGGGCGGGAAGAAGCCCUUCGGGUGGUAACCGGCUUUUGUUGGGAAAGAAUUCUUUUGGGCUAAUCCCCCGGGGGAUGACGGUACCGGAAGAAUAAGCACCGGCUAACUACGUG